CCCGGGAUGGUGAAACUGGUAAACACAGCGGGCUUAAAACCCGCCGCCAUCUUAAAAGAGGCUUGUCGGUUCGAGUCCGAUUCCCGGGACCA
rnacentral:tRNA from 1 species